rnacentral:rRNA from 1 species
AUUGAACGCUGGCGGCAGGCCUAACACAUGCAAGUCGAGCGGAUGAAGGGAGCUUGCUCCUGGAUUCAGCGGCGGACGGGUGAGUAAUGCCUAGGAAUCUGCCUGGUCGUGGGGGGUAACGUCCGGAAACGGGCGCUAAUCCCGCAUACGUCCUGAGGGAGAAAGUGGGGGAUCUUCGGACCUCACGCUAUCAGAUGAGCCUAGGUCGGAUUAGCUAGUUGGUGGGGUAAAGGCCUACCAAGGCGACGAUCCGUAACUGGUCUGAGAGGCUGAUCAGUCACACUGGAACUGAGACACGGUCCAGACUCCUACGGGAGGCAGCAGUGGGGAAUAUUGGACAAUGGGCGAAAGCCUGAUCCAGCCAUGCCGCGUGUGUGAAGAAGGUCUUCGGAUUGUAAAGCACUUUAAGUUGGGAGGAAGGGCAGUAAGUUAAUACCUUGCUGUUUUGACGUUACCAACAGAAUAAGCACCGGCUAACUUCGUG